rnacentral:tRNA from 1 species
GCCAGCAUGGUGUAGUGGUUUGAACACUGGACUAUGACUCUGGAGACCAAAGUUCAAAUUCUUGCUCAGCCG